rnacentral:ncRNA from 1 species
AGAUUUGGUGCCCGGCCUGUUGGCUGGGUGAAAAGGGAAUCGGGUGUGAAUCCCGAGCAGACGGUGCUGCUGUAUUCUCUCAUCGAAACACGAUGCAAGCCCGGUUGCCUCCACUGACUGCCACCACGGCGGGCGGGAAGGCGGUAACCAACAGGGACGGAGUGAGCCAGAAGACCUGCCAAAUCGGUU